rnacentral:rRNA from 1 species
GACGAACGCUGGCGGCGUGCCUAAUACAUGCAAGUUGAGCGCUGAAGGUUGGUACUUGUACCAACUGGAUGAGCAGCGAACGGGUGAGUAACGCGUGGGGAAUCUGCCUUUGAGCGGGGGACAACAUUUGGAAACGAAUGCUAAUACCGCAUAAAAACUUUAAACACAAGUUUUAAGUUUGAAAGAUGCAAUUGCAUCACUCAAAGAUGAUCCCGCGUUGUAUUAGCUAGUUGGUGAGGUAAAGGCUCACCAAGGCGAUGAUACAUAGCCGACCUGAGAGGGUGAUCGGCCACAAUGGGACUGAGACACGGCCCAAACUCCUACGGGGGGCAGCAGUAGGGAAUCUUCGGCAAUGGACGAAAGUCUGACCGAGCAACGCCGCGUGAGUGAAGAAGGUUUUCGGAUCGUAAAACUCUGUUGGUAGAGAAGAACGUUGGUGAGAGUGGAAAGCUCAUCAAGUGACGGUAACUACCCAGAAAGGGACGGCUAACUACGUG